rnacentral:rRNA from 1 species
GUGCCAGCAGCCGCGGUAAUACGUAGGGUGCAAGCGUUAAUCGGAAUUACUGGGCGUAAAGCGUGCGCAGGCGGGUUCGGAAAGAAAGAUGUGAAAUCCCAGAGCUUAACUUUGGAACUGCAUUUUUAACUACCGAGCUAGAGUGUGUCAGAGGGAGGGUGGAAUUCCGCGUGUAGCAGUGAAAUGCGUAGAUAUGCGGAGGAACACCGAUGGCGAAGGCAGCCUCCUGGGAUAACACUGACGCUCAUGCACGAAAGCGUGGGGAGCAAACAGGAUUAGAUACCCUGGUAGUCC